GGGGCGGUUCGCCGCCCCCGACGUCGCGAGAAGUCCAUUGAACCUUAUCAUUUAGAGGAAGGAGAAGUCGUAACAAGGUUUCCGUAGGUGAACCUGCGGAAGGAUCAUU
rnacentral:rRNA from 4 species